AGUAGUUGAAGGAAAUGCUCAAUAAAAUCACUGUAUCUUGUUAUUCUGUUAUGCAGUGUUUUCACAGUGAGAGAUUGCUGCUGUAGUUGGUCUGUGGUCUUACAUUGACAAUAUGGGGGAUGUAAGUGAACUUCGAGGGAAAAAAAGCAGCAGCAGACAGAACAUCUUGACCAACUUCGAAAUGCUUGCUACCGGAGCUCUUCCCUGUGCUGUUCUUUGUUCAAGUUCCUUCAGCAGUGGGCAGGACUAA
rnacentral:lncRNA from 1 species